AUGUUAGACCAAAACUUGAGUAUUUUGUGCUGGAAUGUCCGAGGUUUGAACUGUCCUGAUCGCCGCGCCACCAUCCAUGAGACCAUCACCGCCACUCCGUGUCACAUUGUGUGUCUCCAGGAGACCAAGCUCCAGAAUGUCGACCCGUUCAUUGCUUCUUUUCUAGGGGGACAUCGGUUAAAGAGUUUUGCUCAACGCCCAUCUGUUGGCACUCGAGGCGGAAUCCUUCUUCUCUGGGACGAACAUUUUGUCAAAAUCCAAGAUGUAAACAUUGGUGCUUUCUUCCUCUCAGCCAAA
rnacentral:rRNA from 1 species